AACGGGUGGGCACGACCACAUGCAAAACUAAAUUAAUUAAGCAAGGCAAUCGAGGAUUGGAUUACCUUUUUACGCAAGUGACUUAAUUUAAAUUCCGCAGUAAUAAAUAGCGCUGUCAUGCGUAAAGCGUCUAAUUCAAUUCUUGCGAAUGAGAGCUCACGGAUUGGCACUCCCAAAUAUUUGCAAAGAGAUAAGAAAUCAGCGAUGAAUGCGGCAUUGGUGACAAUUACGAAGCUGCCAAGUCGGGAAGUCAUGAUGCGAAAUAUUUAGCUGUGUUUUAGCAACCGUUUCUGAAGCCGUAUAUUAAAGUAAUUAAACAUGUCGCAUGUACGACAUCAGCACGAGCGUAGUUUAUCGCAAUGACUACCAAAAUUAACAAUAUAAUUUAGAGAAAAUAAAUAAUGUAUUCCGGCGCUUGUUUAGUAUAAACAAUACCCAAAGGCGAACACGCA